GAGGUGAAGGCAGAAAACUGCACCCAGCCGAUCUGAGCUGCUUAAGAAUACACAAAACAGUGGAAAAAAAUCUCAGGAAUCAUCUUUCCAAUAACUGAAGAGGAAGCACAUCUACCUACAAAGAUCUUAAAUCCAAACUGCCAAAUCCAGCCAAGUGGCACCUUUUUCUGCUAAGUGUGAGUGGCUGGUUUGGUGGUUUCAAAUAUCUACAGCUUCGAGAGUUUUCGGCUGUCAGGUGAAGCUGCAAGUGCCGAUGAGAAAGCAGCAAAAGAAAUCCCAGCAAUGACGCAGAAGCUAACUGAAGAAGUUACGCCCUGGGUAACAUUAUCGAUGGCGAUGAAACAGGUAUCUGUUAUAAAUGCAUGUCUCAGUGGGCCUCCGUCUCAAAGGCAGGAAAGCAUGACGCAGGUUUUAAGGCUACAAAAGAUCUUGUAGCUCUGGUGUUCAGCACCAAUGCCCAGCAGAGGGUAACGAGCCAGCCGCCCACAGCAGGUUUUCCACCUUUCUACCCAAUUUCAAAUGGACCAACCACAGGAGACUUCCCUUCUACAAGGGAGCCAACCACAGGAGACUUCCAGACCAAUUACCAAGGGAUGUUCUGAGAAUCCUACUGCCACCGUCUUCCUUUGGGUGAAGAGCAGAGCAGAGUUGGACUGCAAAGUCAAGUUCUCACUCACCGCAAGAAAAGUCAGUUGGUACCCCCCAUCCCCUUCUGACCCUUUAAUGCAGGCUUGCUUCUCAGCCCCUAUUCCUUGCUGUCUGAGAAACCUGAGAGGCAGUCAAUUGGUAUUUGCUUCCUUAUGGUCAGAACUAGCUUUAAUAUUAAAAUCAAACAU